GCCAAACUCUAGCGAUCAUACCAAGCAAAAUAUCUUAAAAGAUAAUCAGAUUCAUAUGCAAUUAGUCAAAAAAAUGUUUUCAAUAAUAGUUGAUUCUUCAAUUCACAACGUUGUUAGACACUCGUAGACUCGUAGACAACUAGGGUCAUUUUCAAAACCCUACUUUUGCCAUUUGGAACCCUAGCACCGCUAGCAAACGUAGACCAGCCACCAUCCCGUUGUAUAUGCAAUUCAACGCACACAUACCAUGAAUUCAUCAUAACCAGCCCUAGCCACUGCUAAAAAAACAACGAAAAUAUCUACGCACAUACUCGCCAACCCUUCCGUGAUGCAAUCGCCACUCCCCCAACCAAGACGAGUCAGGGACAUCGCCGCCGCCGCACAAGCGCGUCUGAAAUGGCCACCAUCGUUGCAGAUCUAUUAUUCCUCUGUAUAUUUUUAAAAAUUCAGAUCUAAUAAUUAAAAAGAAAGAAAAAGAAAUUAAAAGAA
rnacentral:lncRNA from 1 species